AGGAAUUGUUUAAAAGUGUUUCUAACUGUCUCCUUAGCGUUGGCUCACAGGUCUGAAUCACAGAGAAAAGAGCCUCCCUGCGAAGCUGACAGUUCAAAGAUACAAAGGAAAAAUUUGCAAGGACACACAUGGAAAACUUGAGUUGUGCUCAAGUAAAUUUGAUUCACUGUAAAUGUCACUGCAGAUAAAGCUUUUCAAGAAGGGUGCAAGAGUAGACAGGACUUGGAGGGUGAGCUCUCUGCUGGCAGGAUGCACAGUUAGAAGAAAUCUGUUGUGAAGAUUACAGCUGAUAUUCGUUUUUUUAGAUCAGCUAGUAACCUGCUGGACACAUGGAUAGGUCAUGUGGAUUCCUUACACGGCAGGAAGUUGGAAGUUGGACAACCUACUUGGAUUUCAUCCGUAAGACCAUGGACAACAUAUAUUGGAAUGGUUGUUUGGAUUUAGAAUGAAGAGAUGAACAGGACCAGAAAGUCAAAGAGUGUGAUUUGAGAUGGCAGCAGAGGGGCAGUCUUACAAAAUGGCAUCUGUCAUGGAAGCACACAUGAAGUAAAGGUGUGGCACUGAAUUCCUCUACAUGGGAAAAUGGCAUCCACUGACAUUCACUGACAUCUGUUGAACGUUUAUGGAGACCAAUCAGUGGAUGUGAACACAGUGAGGUGAUGUGUGGUACAUUUCAGCAGUGGCGACAGUGACGUGGGAGACAUGCCAAGUUCUGAAUGGCCAUGCAGAGCUGUCACACCAUGAAACAAAGAGCUCAUCUCAAUCAGUUCACCUGUGUGAACUGCGAUUAUACGCAGGGAACUGUAUAUGGAGCUGAAUAUCAACUUCAAUGCGUUGGAAAUGAUGGUGACAAUAUUGGAAUAUCAAAAAGUUUGCACCAGGUGGGUCCCAUGAAUGCUCACACAGGCACAGAAAUAACAUCAUAUGCAAGUUUGUCAGGAUCUGUUGAACCAAUAUGAGGCUGAAGGUGACUGCUUUCAGGACCAUAUCAUUACCAGUGAUGUGGUGUCACACUAUGAGCUGGAGUCAAAACAGCAGUCCAUGGAGAGGCAACAUGUGAAUUCCACACUGAAGAAAAAGUUCAAGAUGCAGUCCUUAGUGAGUAAAGUGAUGCGUGCUGUUUCUUGCGAUAGGAAAGGAGCAGUCCUUCUGAAUUUCAUGGAACCUGAACAAACCAUCAACUCUGACCACUAUGUAGCAAGAUGAAGGUUCAAAGUUGCAGUCAGGCCAGAGAAGAAUACAACCUUUCUCUUGCAAUGCAAUAAUGCCAGGCCCCAUAUCAGUCUGAAGACCAUUAAGCACACUGUCAGUCUUGGCUGCACUGUCCUACCAUACCCACUGUAUAGUCUAGAUUUGGUCCCUUCUGAUUUCCAUCUGAUCAGACCAAUGAAAGAUGGAUUGUGUGGGCAACCUUUUCCUUGUAACGGCAGCUGUGUAAUAGUGGGUCACCUUUACUGGUGCAGAUUGUUACAACCACAGCGUGCAGGCUCUUGUUCACCUCUGAUGAUAAUGUAUAUCUACUGGUGGUGAUUAUGUUGAAAGAUUGUGUUUUGUAGCUGAGAAUUUGCUCUGUCAAAUAAUGUUAUUGUGCUCUUUGUAUCUGUUGUAGUUUCCAUGGAAAUAAGCAGGAAACCUUACUUUCAGAGCAACCUACAUACAAUGUUCAGUGGACUUUCAUGAACCUAUGUACACCUCUUCUUUCUCAUAUUCCUUGCCAAAGUCUGAACAGAACAUUUUCGUGGAUUUUUUUUUCUUUUUGUCAGUCCAAUGAAAUAAAACUAUCAAGAGACUGUAUUGAUUUUCUAACACAAUCUGAGGGAAAACAGGUUUCUUGUCAACUUCCUUUUCUCCUGGCUGCCCACCCAUGAAAUGCUGCAGACCCAAAAGGCUACUAGCUCUGGGAAUUUCAGAGCACUCUGCAAAGCAGGCACCUCAAAACCCUGAUAGUUCCUUACUGCCAAUGAGGAGAUGUCUGGUCUCUGAGUGACUCAGGAAGCACUACUGAUUUCAUGAAGAAAAAUUGCAAUGCAGUAAAAUCUUAGGAGUUUUGUCACAGGACAAUCUUAAGGCUUGACUCUAUUGCAAUUGACUCUGUCCUGUCAAUCUUCUCUGAUUUAUAUGCAUCCUUCAUGUGACACAAUUGCACUCCUUUCUACAGCCUUCCACAGCUCAGUCACCUUUUCUCUAAUGGAAGAUCCCCUUCCUUCCCACCUUGCUAGGCUGUGUUUCACCAAAGCCCUCAAUUCUUCUCCCUGAAAACCAAAAAAAUUAUGCUCAAUUAACACUUCCAAAAAGCUUAUUUCCCUACUUUGCUCCGGACAAGCACACCAAGAUGCUACAGAAAAGCAGAGAGCAGCACGAACGUGUGUUUUCCUGUGAAAGCUCUCACCCUUGCAUCUCCCUGCCGAUUCUCUGUUACUGUCUAUAGCAUUUCCCUGCAGGCUGCUGUCUGAAUGACAAACAAGUGAAAGGACAAGACGUGUCUGAAAAGAACAAAAGCCCCAAGAAAACCCUGAAGCGCUUUUCCAUUCCUGCAGAGAAUAACCCUCCAGGAGUCAAAAAAACAAAAAAAAAAAAAAAAAAAAAAAAAACCACCUCUGAACACCCUAACAGAAGUGCCCUUUGAGGCUUUCAAGUCAAGAAAGUCUUCCCCUAAAUUUAAGACUCCCUUCUACCCCACUCAAUUUGGAGCACUCAGCUGAAGGGCUCUGUGCUCUAACCAUCAGAAGAUAAUUCAGAGGCCUGUAGCCUAGAGCAGCUUCCUCUUGUUAGGGACAGAAAUACAAGGAGUCCUUUCCCAAGAUAUUCCAAAUGGUUUUGUCCAAGGGAGACUUUCAAUUGACUUUGGUUGCCUCAGAUCUUAUCUCAAUAUGGCACUCACACAUAGAAUCAAAGCUUUUGUGUGUGCUGAAGUUCUGCGGCAGCUAGGAGAACAGUUGUUCAGAUUGGACAAUUAUGGCUAUGCAACACUUCUACAGGAUUGGUUUUACAAAGAACUGUACUCGCUGGUUUUGAGACCAAAUAGGGUUUUCCGAGACUGAAGUCACACUCCAAAAUUAAGGUACUGUAUGUUAAAAAAAAAAAAAAAAAAAAAAAGUAGCUCUAUAAAUGAAAUGUCAAAAUCUGGUAAUUACAUGAAAGACAUUGUGGAAAACAUGUGACAUACUGGUUUUUAUCAGUUGUGAAAAUGUUGAGGACACAGUUCCUCUUCCUUGUUUUUACUUAACUGCUCAGAUUUUCAACUCUUGCUCAGGAAAACAUUCUCUGACAAUUUUGUAUCUGUGGGUACAUAGGCUUCCCAAUACUUAAUUCUUUAUUUUUUCAAAUAAUUUGUUCUCAUACAACUUUUCUUAGAAAAAAUUAUCACCUCUCCAAAAAGUUUGUAAAAAAAACCUCCUCUGAGUUUCUGAAGCUGAAGCAGGAGAGUGGAACUGGAAAUGGAUUGAGGACUACUGCACAGAUGCUGUGGGGAAGGCGGACAAGGCAGUCUUUAAGACUGUUCUACCAUACACCAGGGGCUCUCAGCUGCUUGAGCUCUUACAGUAAGGGGCCCUUACAUCUUCUGACUCACAGAGGCCUAAGCACAGUGUUGUAUCUGGCCAUUUUUUUGAGGACAGUCCACAUCACCAUGCCACCACUGCACAGGAUAUUCUGCAGCAAGGCUUCUUUGUGGUUGUUGCCUACAGAGACUCAGAGGCACUCAGUCAGGCUCUUCCAUUUAUGACGCUGUUGUUCUUACUGUUAAGUCAAGCAACGUCUUUAGAUUUAAUUUCCUUUCCAUUAUAAUCUAUAACAGGGUAAUAUCAUGGUUCCUUCUGCCACACUCUCAAGCACAUAUAAUAUCUGGUGUGUGGGAAAUAAAGACAUAAUGUCAUUUCUGAUUUGGUUGUCUUCUCUCCUUAAUAUUUUAAUAGAUGCCUAAUGUAACUUUUAUGUUCAGAAAGAGUUCAUUAGUUUACAAAUUAGCAGCCUGAAGUGAAUUUUGCUACCAUUGAGUGACUUUCCAUUUCUAGCAAUAUGCUUGUUUGGAUUUUUCUUUUUUAGGAUUAGUGUUUAUAAAAUAUUAGCGAGAUGAAUCAUUCAACUACAUAAACUAUUGAGACAUCUAUGAUCAGUUCUUCCUCUUAUUGUCUGCUCUUCCACCCACACCUUAUGCCACUUCCAAACUCAAAACCCUCCCCACCAUUUUUGCUGCUGACAGAAGAAAAUGUUGUAUCUCUGCAUCUGAUUCAGGAAGGCAGGUUAAGGAAAUUAGAUAGGCUGGAUUAAAAAAAAAAAACAAAAAAAACUGGUGAUGACAUGGUAAACUUCACUCUGAAAGCUGCUCAGUGUCUGCCUCUAAAGUUUAAGAGACUGCCACUGGCCUUAGGUAGCUUCCAAAGUGUGAGGCUAAAAGAUCAAUGACCAGAGCCUCCUCAGGUGUGAAAAGACAGCCUAAAAACUGAAAUCUUGGAAGAGACUUCAAAGAAGUAGAUUCAAUUAAUAAACAAAACCAAAAGCAAAUCAACAGCAACAACUCUUAGGAGACAGAUCUAUAUAUUUUCCUGGUAUUACAAAGACCAGUUUGAUGGCACUGACAGAAUAUCUUCAGGUUCUCUUCAUGCCUGGAAUGUUUAACUAGUCUUAUGAACUGCAUUCAUGUCAACACUGGAAGUUCUUGAGUAAGAAUGACUAAGAACAUAAAAGUGUUCAGUGAAAAGAAUUGAUAAAGUUCUGCUGAAUUUCAGCAACUGACCUGCAGUGAGUUUGGAUUCUCCCCUCCCUCCCCCCCCCCCUCCCAUAUUUUUUUGUUUUUAAUAAGAUGAAGCAUGUGAGGAAGAAGAAUAAUCCAAGGCAACAAAGGAUUACGAGAGGAAGGUAACCUACUAUGUUAAGUGUAUUUUCAGGCCAGUCCUGCUUAAGGACCACCUGAUGUCAGCAGUUUGCUGUAGUAAAACCAGUGGGAAUGAAGGGCAAAAUCAGGUCCCCGCAGUAUAGAAAGAAGGGCUUCAUAGCAAGAAAAGAGAAAGCAGCUUCACAAGGUAGACAUAAGGGGCAAAUAGAGAGAGUUUAUGUAGAGAGUAUUAGAAAACAAGGGAUUCCAAGCACUUUCACGGGUGCUAGGUCCGGAAUAACAAGGAGAAUGAAGACCAUAAAGAUAAGGACUGGAGAACAGCUCGAAAACAUUUGGCAGGGAGGUGAUUAGAUGUCUGAAGUGCAAGCUGAAACCAGUUCGGGGGAUGCCCCCCCUUCGGGGUCAGAAGUUGGCAGUGAGGAAGACUACGAGCCUUCGCGAGGAAGACUACGAGCCUUCAUCAUCACGACCUACUACGCACGCGCAAGGAGGGGAGGGACUGUAUGCUAAUGAGCUCUCGGGAAUGUAGUGAAUAUGUAUCCGAAUUCCUGUCAACUACUGAUUAUGUAUUAGUUUGACCUAUAUCUAUAGCACGAUUUCUUUGGACGGUGUGCAAGUUAGGUGGAACGAUCCCCCUUGCACCAGGGUGUACGCGCGUCACUAAUAAACACAUACCUGCU
ensembl:lncRNA